rnacentral:rRNA from 1 species
UACGUAGGGUGCAAGCGUUGUCCGGAAUUAUUGGGCGUAAAGAGCUCGUAGGCGGUCUGUCACGUCGGCUGUGAAAACCCGGGGCUCAACCCCGGGCCUGCAGUGGGUACGGGCAGACUAGAGUGCGGUAGGGGUGACUGGAAUUCCUGGUGUAGCGGUGGAAUGCGCAGAUAUCAGGAGGAACACCGAUGGCGAAGGCAGGUCACUGGGCCGCAACUGACGCUGAGGAGCGAAAGCAUGGGGAGCGAACAGG